rnacentral:lncRNA from 1 species
AUGACAUACAGAUACUAUAUAUAUAUAUAUAUAUAUAUAUAUAUAUAUAUAUAUGUUAGUUUUAGUUUGUUUAGUUUUUAUUUUAGUUAGUUUACGUUUUUAAACAUACUAUAUAUAUAUAUAUAUAUAUAUAUAUAUAUAUAUACAUGUGUUUUAUUGUGUUUUAUUUUGAUGUUCUUUUAAAAUUAUUUUAAUUGUACUAGUUUAUAAUUUAAUUAGGCUAAUUAUAAGUUUUUCAUUAAACUCUCAGACAUCUUGCAGUUCCUCUACGAACCCCAGUUUGGGAAGCCUUGACUUAGCCUAACUCAAUUUAUAUGCACUUCAUGUUGUUAAUGAUAACAAAUGGAAUAUAUUUUAUAUAUAUCAAUAUGGUACAAGAUUAUCCUGUUUAAAUCAAAGUGAUAAAGUUUGGUCGAAAGAAAAUAGUCUGAUUAUAUUAUCUAAAAUGUGUAAUGUAAUGGAUUGUGUUAUUUUUGUCAUGUAAUUUGGAAUCAGUAACAGACUACAAUUUUCAAGUAAUCUGCCCAGCUCUGUUUGUUUUUAAAAUAGGAUUAUGAUCCAUGUACAAUCUUAAAAAUCUCAUGUCUAAUUAUACAAGAACUAAAAGUAGUUUAAGAUGAAGUACUGCUGUCACUGAAAUUUCAUGAAGAAAUAAAUAAAUAAAUAAAUAAAACUACAAAAGGGCUCCUAUAGUACCGGAAGUCUAGUUAGAGUAGAAGAACCACAAUUCCCAGAAGGCGUCGGGGUUUUCAGUUACUGUGGAAAGGGGGGGAAGGGAAGCUGAGAUUGGAGGGAGAGAAACUGAGGUAAAAAUUACAACUAAUAUUUAAUACCUAUCAUUCUAGCAACGAUACUAAUGCGUAAUUAGCAGUUAAGAAAGGUAACUCUACACUGCUAGCACGUUUUGCUGGACCCUGUGUCGUAAAAGACUCCUUACAGGCAAGUUAGCUAAGCUAGAAGCGAGAGUACAGAAAGACUGAGGCAGUUUAGCUGGACAGACGCUCCAGCGCUCACUGACUGCACCGUGACAGUAAAUAACAACAUUUCCAGCAGAAAUCACUACAGUGAGGUCGGGAACUGUGCACUGAGAGAUUCGUUCAGACGUUGUCGGUGGAAGGCCACGGGGAGUUUCUGGAAAGACGCUUACUAUCCCUCCAAGCCAUCAGUAGACUCCCUUUUUAAUGGCAGACCCCUGUAA